UACGUAGGGAGCAAGCGUUGUCCGGAAUCAUUGGGCGUAAAGCGCGCGUAGGCGGCCCGGUAAGUCCGUUGUGAAAGUCAAAGGCUCAACCUUUGAAAGCCGAUGGAUACUGCCGGGCUGGAGUCCGGAAGAGGCGAGUGGAAUUCCUGGUGUAGCGGUGGAAUGCGCAGAUAUCAGGAGGAACACCAAUAGCGAAGGCAGCUCGCUGGGACGGUACUGACGCUGAGGCGCGAAAGCGUGGGGAGCGAACAGG
rnacentral:rRNA from 1 species